rnacentral:rRNA from 1 species
UACACGACCGUACCGCAAACCGACACUGGUGCGCGAGAUGAGUAUUCUAAGGCGCUUGACAGAACUCAGGAGAAGGAACUCGGCAAAUUGACACCGUAACUUCGGAAGAAGGUGUGCCUUUAGUAGGUGAACCAUUUACUUGGGGAGCCCAAUGAGGCUGCAAAAAAUCGGUGGCUGCAUCUGUUUAUUAAAAACACAGCACUCUGCUAAGACGAAAGUCGACGUAUAGGGUGUGACGCCUGCCCGGUGCUGGAAGAUUGAAUGAUGGGGUGCAAGCUCUUGAUUGAAGUCCCAGUAAACGGCGGCCGUAACAAUAACGGUCCUAAGGUAGCGAAAUUCCUUGUCGGGUAAGUUCCGACCUGCACGAAUGGCGUAAUGAUGGCCACACUGUCUCCUCCUGAGACUCAGCGAAGUUGAAAUGUUUGUGAUGAUGCAAUCUCCCCGCGGAAAGACGGAAAGACCCCAUGAACCUUUACUGUAGCUUUGUAUUGGACUUUGAACAGAUCUGUGUAGGAUAGGUGGGAGGCUUUGAAGUGUGGUCGCUAGAUCGCAUGGAGCCAACGUUGAAAUACCACCCUGGUGUGUUUGAGGUUCUAACCUAGGUCCAUUAUCUGGAUCGGGGACAGUGCAUGGUAGGCAGUUUGACUGGGGCGGUCUCCUCCCAAAGUGUAACGGAGGAGUUCGAAGGUACGCUAGGUACGGUCGGACAUCGUGCUAAUAGUGCAAUGGCAUAAGCGUGCUUAACUGCGAGACUGACAAGUCGAGCAGAUGCGAAAGCAGGACAUAGUGAUCCGGUGGUUCUGUAUGGAAGGGCCAUCGCUCAACGGAUAAAAGGUACUCUGGGGAUAACAGGCUGAUACCGCCCAAGAGUUCAUAUCGACGGCGGUGUUUGGCACCUCGAUGUCGGCUCAUCUCAUCCUGGGGCUGUAGCCGGUCCCAAGGGUAUGGCUGUUCGCCAUUUAAAGAGGUACGUGAGCUGGGUUUAAAACGUCGUGAGACAGUUUGGCCCUAUCUUCCGUGGGCGCUGCAGAUUUGAGGAAGCCUGCUCCUAGUACGAGAGGACCGGAGUGGACGAACCUCUGGUGUAUCGGUUGUCACGCCAGUGGCAUUGCCGGGUAGCUAAGUUCGGAAGAGAUAACCGCUGAAAGCAUCUAAGCGGGAAACUCGUUUCAAGAUUAGAUCUGCCGGGGCCUUGAGCCCCCUAAAGAGUCGUUCAAGACCAGGACGUUGAUAGGUCAGGUGUGGAAGC